GCCAGGCGUGGUGGUUCACGCCUGUAAUCCCAGCACUUUGGGAGGCCGAGACGGGUGGGUCACCUGAGGUCAGGAGUUUGAGACCAGCCUAAUGAAACUCUGUCUCUGGCCGGGCUUGGUGGCUCAUGCCCAUAGUCCCAGCCUACUUUGGGAGGCCAAGGUGGGUAGAUCACGAGGUCAGGAGUUCGAGACCAGCCUGGCCAACAUGGUGAAACCCCAUCUCU
rnacentral:sRNA from 1 species